GUAACAAGGUUUCCGUAGGUGAACCUGCGGAAGGAUCAUUAACUAAUGUAUUGGCACUUUACUGGGAUUUACUUCUCAGUAUUGUUUGCUUCUAUACUGUGAACCUCUGGCGAUGAAGGUCGUAACUGACCUUCGGGAGAGACUCAGGACAUAUAGGCUAUAAUGGGUAGGCCUGUUCUGGGGUUUGAUCGAUGCCAAUCAGGAUUACCUUUCUUCCUUUGGGAAGGAAGGUGCCUGGUACCCUUUACCAUAUACCAUGAAUUCAGAAUUGAAAGUAUAAUAUAAUAACAACUUUUAACAAUGGAUCUCUUGGUUCUCGCAUCGAUGAAGAACGUAGCAAAGUGCGAUAACUAGUGUGAAUUGCAUAUUCGUGAAUCAUCGAGUCUUUGAACGCAGCUUGCACUCUAUGGAUCUUCUAUAGAGUACGCUUGCUUCAGUAUCAUAACCAACCCACACAUAAAAUUUAUUUUAUGUGGUGAUGGACAAGCUCGGUUAAAUUUAAUUAUUAUACCGAUUGUCUAAAAUACAGCCUCUUUGUAAUUUUCAUUAAAUUACGAACUACCUAGCCAUCGUGCUUUUUUGGUCCAACCAAAAAACAUAUAAUCUAGGGGUUCUGCUAGCCAGCAGAUAUUUUAAUGAUCUUAACUAUGAUC
rnacentral:misc_RNA from 1 species